CAGUAGCCACGGUAAUACGGAGGGUGCUAGCGUUGUUCGGAAUCACUGGGCGUAAAGGGCGCGUAGGCGGCCUGUUAAGUCGGAUGUGAAAGCCCGGGGCUCAACCCCGGAACUGCAUCCGAGACUGGCAGGCUUGAGACCGGGAGAGGAGGGUGGAAUAUCCAGUGUAGAGGUGAAAUUCGUAGAUAUUGGAUGGAACACCGGUGGCGAAAGCGGCUCUCUGGCCCGGAUCUGACGCUGAGGCGCGAAAGCGUGGGGAGCAAACAGGAUUAGAGACCCCUGUAGUCCCUGUCUCUUAUAC
rnacentral:rRNA from 1 species